rnacentral:rRNA from 1 species
CCUACGGGUGGCAGCAGUGGGGAAUAUUGGACAAUGGGGGCAACCCUGAUCCAGCCAUGCCGCGUGUGUGAAGAAGGCCCUCGGGUUGUAAAGCACUUUCAGUGAGGAAGAACGCCUGGUGGUUAAUACCCAUCAGGAAAGACAUCACUCACGGAAGAAGCACCGGCUAACUCCGUGCCAGCAGCCGCGGUAAUACGGAGGGUGCGAGCGUUAAUCGGAAUUACUGGGCGUAAAGCGCGCGUAGGUGGCUUGAUAAGCCGGUUGUGAAAGCCCCGGGCUCAACCUGGGAACGGCAUCCGGAACUGUCAAGCUAGAGUGCAGGAGAGGAAGGUAGAAUUCCCGGUGUAGCGGUGAAAUGCGUAGAGAUCGGGAGGAAUACCAGUGGCGAAGGCGGCCUUCUGGACUGACACUGACACUGAGGUGCGAAAGCGUGGGUAGCAAACAGGAUUAGAUACCCCAGUAGUC